CUUCACCCAGAGCCUUGCAGGUAUGUUUAUCACAGCUGUGGCUGGGGAGCUGUACCGGUAGGAUAUACCAUUUUCACCUGAAGAUGCCAGGAAAACAAUGGGGAGCUAUCCACAGACAGGAUGCAAAACUUCCUGGCAAUGCAUUCAGUUUGGAAGGUGGUUCAAGAUGACUCCAGGAACCUUGUAUGCCUGCUUUGCGUGGGCCAGGAGACCAGAGCCCACCUGUACCCCCAGCCCCACCGCAGACACGCUGCACUCAGAGCAGUCAGUCAGCAGUGACGACAGCAGGAGUGCGUCAGUGCCAGAUCCACGUGUGAACACCAGCAGUCACAGUGAGAAGAGUGGCAGCCAUUCAUCUGCCCCCAGCACGGCUGAGAGCAGAAAUCCUUGACAAGUAUUACAUCUUCCAUCAGCUGUGGGUUUAUUAAGUCAUGUGGAAACAUGCAGAGCUGAUGUACCCCUCAGAUCCCUUGGUGGAUGAAAUUGCUGCACUCAGCUCAAGUGAGCCUUGGCAGUCCUACGUACCUGCAUUAAAAUGUCCGCACCGUGCAUCAGCAUUAUUCACUAAACACCUGUAUCUCAGCGUGUGAUACGAGUCUGGUAAGAAAUCUCUGCAUUGAACAUUUUUCAUUCUUUUAUUUUAUGCAAUUUCUGCUCCACUUCUCAAUAGAUUCCCUCUCUUCACUUAGUUGCACUCUAGGAAAGAUUUAAUAAAAAGACCCAAACUUUAGAUGGAAAUUAAAACUAGCAAAGAAGUUUUCUGAUUAAAAAUCUGUGCAGAAGUUCUGGAUGUCUCAGGUCUGUAUGACUUCUUCCUACCCAACCCAGAGCCAGUGCUAGGCUGUCCAAACGAAAUUCAAGAAUUAGUUGAAGACACCGGUUUCUCCAAGCCUCUGCUAAGAGUGGGGGCACUCCUUGCCUUUGCCAGGGCCUAGGGUUAAUGAACAAGGAGGAACUGACUGUUGUGGUUGCUCUUACUUGGGCUGUUUCCACUUUCGUUGCCACUCCCAGAAGAGUGGAUGGAUUAAUGCCACCUCCUAGUCCAAAAAUCAUCACAAGAAUUUGACUACUCAUUACACUGGUACUACUAUACUUAACUUUUUUUUGCUAAUAAACUAACAGAGCACACAAUGUGCUGCUGGUAAUAGAAACAUUAAUCCUUCUAGAUCAAACCUCAGCAAUACUCGGCCCAAAGCACAAGAGGCAGCAUGUGUCAGAACAGCUUGGCCUGUUGGAAAAUCUGAUGUAACACCUUCCUAGUGGAAAAUGUUGAUUCACUUGUAGCAAAGCUGUUCAUUAGAAAUGCAUUUUGUUUAAGAGAGCCCAGGGAGGCUUCUGUUGGUGUUUGCUGUGAAUGUCCAUGGUGUUACCAUCAGGCUCUCCUGCAGUGUGGGGGGAGGUCUGGCUCUGGCCAGCAUCCCCAUGUGGGCUGGGGAUUCCCCAAACAGUGGGACACACUGCUAGUGUUGGGUCCAUUCUCCCACUGUGGACUGCUCAGUUCCUCCAACUCCACUGUCCGAAGCAGACACCUGGCCAGCCCAGCAGCAGGUGCCUCCUGGCUCCAGUUGGGAUGCCAGAAAAGCUGAGAGCAUCCUGACACCCUGCAGGCUGGUGACAGACCUACCAGUCAUGGAGGUGACUCCCUGGGAGACAGAACUCCAUAGCUUCAAUUGCCUUCACAAAAUAUCUGUGUCAUUUCCCUCCUCACCCACGAAGGAAGAGUUUAGCAACGUCCUGAGCAGCAGACAAACAAGCACAGGUGCUAAGCGCUAUUCCCUGCCUAGGAGGAGCUUCGCUAUCUAGUUCAGCACCAAAUACAGUGGUGGUUUUUGCUCAGGGUGUGGCAGGAAAAGAAAUAAGAAAAGAAAAGCAAG